rnacentral:rRNA from 1 species
CCAGACUCCUACGGGAGGCAGCAGUGGGGGAUAUUGCACAAUGGGGGGAACCCUGAUGCAGCGACGCCGCGUGGGUGAAGGAGCGUUUCGGCGCGUAAAGCCCUAUCGGCAGGGAAGAAGGAGGACGGUACCUGACUAAGAAGCCCCGGCUAACUACGUGCCAGCAGCCGCGGUAAUACGUAGGGGGCAAGCGUUAUCCGGAUUUACUGGGUGUAAAGGGGGCGCAGACGGCAGCGCAAGCCAGGAGUGAAAGCCCGGGGCCCAACCCCGGGACUGCAUUUGAAACUGUCAGGCUGGAGUGCAGGAGAGGUAAGUGGAAUUCCUAGUGUAGCGGUGAAAUGCGUAGAUAUUAGGAGGAACACCAGUGGCGAAGGCGGCUUACUGGACUGUAACUGACGUUGAGGCUCGAAAGCGUGGGUAGCGAACGGGAUUAGAUACCCCGGUAAU